rnacentral:lncRNA from 1 species
AAAAGAAAAGAACUGCACAGAACUCACAUUCGUUGAACAUAAUAUUAUUAUACAUUGAUGCUUAUCACAUUCACAAAGAGAUGCAUAGAACUCUCAUGACACAGAUGCUUGCUGCAUUAUUCAUGGUUUUUGCUAGCUAAGAGAGUUGCACAUAACUCUCAUACCUUCAACCUUAUUCUAUACAAAAGUACAACAUAAUUAAUACAACCUCAUACAAUUGACAUUAAAUAACUUGCUUGAGUUUUUCUGAAGGAACCCUAAGAGUUUGAGGAAAUGGUCUUCCUCCUUUUUCCAUAGAUUUUCGUUUCAGACGAUGCUGUCUUUCUCCAUACAAAAUAUCAGCAAGCCUUCAUAAAAACACAUAAAACCAUUAUCCUCAAAACUAGUUAAAUUAAUAAUUGACUAAACCAGAAGGUAAUGAAUUCAUUAUUUUUUUCACCUGUCAAGAGCCUCAGCAUUUGUUUCUACAGCUUGUUCUAGAUCAAAAGUAUCCAAAUUCCUUUUUACAACUUUUUCUUGUAACAGUUGUUUUCCGGUGUCUUCAAGGCCGUCCAUGUUUUCUUGUGUAACAUUACUCGGGUCACUAAAAUCAGGAUUCAAGUUGUAUUCUUGCCAUUGGUUACAAGAUUCAUCAAUAUAUAAUCCAAAACUAUAAAUAAUUCUUAAGAGAAAUGAAAACCUCUUACCACCAAUAUAUGAAAAGAAAUACCUGAAUUCGAAGGUAGCUACUGUUGGGUUGAAAGUCUGAGAAGAGUGAAGCAAGGUUGUAUUCAGUAAUGGCUGCAGAAGCAUAAGGGACAAGUUCCGCAUUUUCCUUAGAAAGCCAGUCAGAAUCUGUCCAAUUGGAAGCGAUCUGAGCAUCAUAGAUGUCCACAAAUUUUGUGAUUCCAGUUCCUAAAGACAACACUAGGAUUUUGGGAUAUUCAUAGUGUUGUAACACUUCACUCACUGCUGCUUGUGUCUGGUGAAAUUAAACUUGAUAGUGUUAAACUUGAUACCUUGUAUCAUGAUUCAUAUUUGUAAUCAAUAAUNNNN